rnacentral:rRNA from 1 species
CAGCCGCCACGGGAAUACGGAGGGUGCAAGCGUUAAUCGGAAUUACUGGGCGUAAAGCGCACGCAGGCGGUUUGUUAAGUCAGAUGUGAAAUCCCCGAGCUUAACUUGGGAACUGCAUCUUAUACUGGGUAACUGGAGUGCAGUAGAGGGUAGUGGAAUUUCCGGUGUAGCGGUGAAAUGCGUAGAUAUCGGAAGGAACACCAGUGGCGAAGGCGGCUACCUGGACUGAGACUGACACUGAGGCGCGAGAGCGUGGGGAGCAAACAGGAUUAGAUACCCGCGUAGUCCCUGUCUCUUAUAC